GGGUCUUUAGCUCAGCUGGUAGAGCAUCUGUUUUACACACAGAAGGUCGUAGGUUCGAGCCCUGCAAGGCCCA
rnacentral:tRNA from 1 species